rnacentral:rRNA from 1 species
GGGAUUAGUGGCGAACGGGUGAGUAACACGUGAGUAACCUGCCCUUGACUCUGGGAUAAGCCUGGGAAACUGGGUCUAAUACCGGAUAUGACCGUCUGACGCAUGUCAGGUGGUGGAAAGCUUUUGUGGUUUUGGAUGGACUCGCGGCCUAUCAGCUUGUUGGUGGGGUAAUGGCCUACCAAGGCGACGACGGGUAGCCGGCCUGAGAGGGUGACCGGCCACACUGGGACUGAGACACGGCCCAGACUCCUACGGGAGGCAGCAGUGGGGAAUAUUGCACAAUGGGCGCAAGCCUGAUGCAGCGACGCCGCGUGAGGGAUGACGGCCUUCGGGUUGUAAACCUCUUUCAGUAGGGAAGAAGCGAAAGUGACGGUACCUGCAGAAGAAGCGCCGGCUAACUACGUGCCAGCAGCCGCGGUAAUACGUAGGGCGCAAGCGUUAUCCGGAAUUAUUGGGCGUAAAGAGCUCGUAGGCGGUUUGUCGCGUCUGCUGUGAAAGACCGGGGCUCAACUCCGGUUCUGCAGUGGGUACGGGCAGACUAGAGUGCAGUAGGGGAGACUGGAAUUCCUGGUGUAGCGGUGAAAUGCGCAGAUAUCAGGAGGAACACCGAUGGCGAAGGCAGGUCUCUGGGCUGUAACUGACGCUGAGGAGCGAAAGCAUGGGGAGCGAACAGGAUUAGAUACCCUGGUAGUCCAUGCCGUAAACGUUGGGCACUAGGUGUGGGGGACAUUCCACGUUUUCCGCGCCGUAG